AGUGAACGCUGGCGGUAGGCCUAACACAUGCAAGUCGAACGGCAGCACAGUAAGAGCUUGCUCUUACGGGUGGCGAGUGGCGGACGGGUGAGGAAUACAUCGGAAUCUACUUUUUCGUGGGGGAUAACGUAGGGAAACUUACGCUAAUACCGCAUACGACCUACGGGUGAAAGCAGGGGAUCUUCGGACCUUGCGCGAUUGAAUGAGCCGAUGUCGGAUUAGCUAGUUGGCGGGGUAAAGGCCCACCAAGGCGACGAUCCGUAGCUGGUCUGAGAGGAUGAUCCGCCACACUGGAACUGAGACACGGUCCAGACUCCUACGGGAGGCAGCAGUGGGGAAUAUUGGGCAAUGGGCGCAAGCCUGAUCCAGCCAUACCGCGUGGGUGAAGAAGGCCUUCGGGUUGUAAAGCCCUUUUGUUGGGAAAGAAAAGCAGCAGGUUAAUACCCCGCUGUUCUGACGGUACCCAAAGAAUAAGCACCGGCUAACUUCGUG
rnacentral:rRNA from 1 species